GUAUUUUGAAGUCUUCCUGUACAGUUCCUACCCACCCCCUCUGAAGUUCUAUGUUCAGUGGAGAAUUCAGCACCUGACACUUCACACUUGCUGCCUGUUUCUAUAAUCCUGAGAAAUUGUGGCUUAGCAGAACUCAACGCUAGUAAGAGCUUAUCUGUAUUCUGCGGAACAUCCCACUACAGAACCAUGAAGAAGGAUGCUGAUAAAUGACUCCAUGAAUAGACAAGCAAAGAUAAUUGACUUUUAGCCAGCAUUGUUAUAAAUGAUGGCCAAAACUGAAUUUUAACCAGCAUUGUUGUAUAUUCUUUCAAAGUAGUUGGUAGUAUUGUUUUUCAUAGUGGUGUUUAUUCCUUUCCCCCACUAUAUUUCAAAGGCAUGUAUAAUCAGUUUUAUUUUUGUAUAUUGUUGCUUACCAUCUUGACCCGAAACACUUGCCCACAUAUGGCCAUGUAUUUUAUUUAUUUAUUUUUAAGAUUAAGAAUCAGUCAUCUCUGUUUUCUUCAAAAAAACUAAUGACCAGUUAACAUCUGUCUUUCUACAGAGAAGAGCCAGGCUUAACUGAAAUGUGUGUGUUUGUUUUUAAGUAAAUGCAAAAGAACAAUAUGUUUUGCAAAAGACAGAUACAUUUUGUUAUGGUUCAUUAUUUUCUUCCUUCUUACUAACAAUAAUAAAAUCUGUUUUCAGCCUGUAUA